rfam:Myotis davidii contig37454, whole genome shotgun sequence.
GGUGGUUUUUGGAUGACGCACCCUGGAAUCAGGCUCCCUCCUUUCUGGUUCUGGUUGGGUCACCAGAGACAGCA